AUUGAACGCUGGCGGUAGGCCUAACACAUGCAAGUCGAACGGCAGCACAGGAGAGCUUGCUCUCUGGGUGGCGAGUGGCGGACGGGUGAGGAAUACAUCGGAAUCUACUUUUUCGUGGGGGAUAACGUAGGGAAACUUACGCUAAUACCGCAUACGACCUACGGGUGAAAGCAGGGGACCUUCGGGCCUUGCGCGAUUGAAUGAGCCGAUGUCGGAUUAGCUAGUUGGCGGGGUAAAGGCCCACCAAGGCGACGAUCCGUAGCUGGUCUGAGGGGAUGAUCAGCCACACUGGAACUGAGACACGGUCCAGACUCCGACGGGAGGCAGCAGUGGGGAAUAUUGGACAAUGGGCGCAAGCCUGAUCCAGCCAUACCGCGUGGGUGAAGAAGGCCUUCGGGUUGUAAAGCCCUUUUGUUGGGAGAGAAAUCCAGCUGGCUAAUACCCGGUUGGGAUGACGGUACCCAAAGAAUAAGCACCGGCUAACUUCGUGCCAGCCGCCGCCGUAA
rnacentral:rRNA from 1 species